AGUGGCGAACGGGUGAGUAACACGUGGGGCAACCCUGCCCAAAAGAGGGGGAUAACACUUGGAAACAGGUGCUAAUACCGUAUAACCAUAGUUACCGCAUGGUAACUAUGUAAAAGGUGGCUAUGCUACCGCUUUUGGAUGGGCCCGCGGCGCAUUAGCUAGUUGGUGGGGUAAAGGCUUACCAAGGCAAUGAUGCGUAGCCGAACUGAGAGGUUGAUCGGCCACAUUGGGACUGAGACACGGCCCAAACUCCUACGGAAGGCAGCAG
rnacentral:rRNA from 1 species